CACCGCUGUCGAGAGAUUACAGCGACAUCUGAAUGCAUAACUAACUUGUUCUUUUUUUCCAGCUGAUAAUGGGCAAAAAUAACUCUAGCGGCACUGGAGAAGAGGAAAGGUAAAUCAGCAGGUAGUUCAGAAAACGAGAAGAGGAGGAAGAAAAUGACAAAGUGGACAGGAAGUAGGAGGAAGCAGCAGGUGUAGAGUGAUCUAGUGAGUGGAGGAGACAAACAAACUCAAUACACAGGAAGUGGAGAACAACGGCGAUGCGAGAUGCAGCGUCCUUCAAAAUCCCAUCUGCACAAACGGGAGUCGGCACAACAUGUUUCAGACAGUGAUGUGUUAAUUACCUGCAUCACCUCUGUGUGAAAGAAAAUGGGAGCUUCUCAAAGUGAUAUGCUGGAAGUUGAAAUGCUUUGGAAUACAGUCAAACUCCAAAUGACCAUCAAGCUCCACUGUGGAGGAGCAGUAUUUGUUACAUAUUGCAUAAAAGUAUGCCCUGUAAUAAAACGAGUUAGUACCAUAUUAGUGCAUUUACUCAUU